rnacentral:lncRNA from 1 species
GGGAGUGGGAGGGUGAUUAACAGGGGAAGAAUUAGGAAAGAGGAUAUGCAAGACCACAGUAAGAGAUGGAAAUAAGAGAAUACUCCUGCUUUCCAUUGGAUGACUUUGACUAGUAAUGUCAUCGCAUGUACACAAUUUAAGACAGAGUAUCUGGUGCUUCUCGGACCUUCAAGCAAGUGUCACAUCUCAGGUGAACCUUGGCAGUUUUUAGAUGAACAAAGUAAUCAAAGCAAAAAUGUCAAAUAAUAAUAAUAAUAAUGAUAUCAGAAGAAUGUCCAAUGCCAUGGUUGGAUUCCCAGAGGGCAGCAUCUGCUCAUGCCAUCAACAACAUGGUGCCAUUUCAAUCAUUCUCUUUUUGUCCCAAAGACAAAAAAAAAUAGAAAAAAUAAAAAGAAAAAGACACCACGAACUGUCUAUCCUCCUGGUAAUACAAAUACACCUGUAAAUAAACAUGUCAAUGUCUACACAUAACGCACAUUUAUGCAGCAUCCAUCCUCUCGGUGCUUCCGUAGUUAUCAAGUAAAAGUACUUCUAAGCCUAAGAAAUGACAGUAUUAAUUCAGUCUUGGGGUGUGGGGGGAAAGGUGGACUAUCAUCAAAUAAAAAAGGUGAGGCUAAUUAAGUGGCAUCCACUGGGGACUGGGAAA